UACGUAGGGUGCAAGCGUUGUCCGGAAUUAUUGGGUACGUAAGAGCUCGUAGGCGGUCUGUCACGUCGGACUGGUGAAAACCCGAAGGCUCAACCUUCGGGCCUGCAGUCGAUACGGGCAAACUAGAGUACGUGCAGGGGAGACUGGAAUUCCGGGUGUACGGUGGAAUGCGUAGAGAUCCGGAAAGAACACCGGUGGCGAAGGCGGUCUGCUGGGCAGUAGCUGACACUGAGGCGCGACAGCGUGGGAGCAACAG
rnacentral:rRNA from 1 species